CCAGAAGAGACUCACUCAAGUUCAUCUGGACUCCCCGAGGAGGCAGACGGGCACAAAGGGCCACUGCUGGUACCAAGGCUCCGGUUCCUCGGAGAGUUCAGCUGGAGAGAAGUCUGCUCUGGGUCCUUUCAUGGUUUCCAAAACUGUUGACUGAAAUACAUGUGCAGCCUAAAAGUUAAGAGUUAUGAUUUAUUUGGCAGGAGGACUUGACCUGGGAUGACAGCCUCUCAGAUCUCUCUGAGGGACUGCUCAGAAGAGGUUGGGGAGGAACUAGGAUAUAUAGGAGCUUUACAACAAAGACCGGGAAGUUGGAACAAUAAAAGAUUGCUUGUUAUCUAAAGAAAGCCAGACUGACUAUGGAUAAUCUGCAACCUUGGAAAGCAACCGAGAUGGAAUUACUGCAGUACGUUUUGGUUACUGAGACCCUCGAAUUCCCAUAUGAAUUGUAGUAGCAGCUAGUCAGUUUUUGCAGAGGAGCCUG